GACGAACGCUGGCGGCGUGCUUAAUACAUGCAAGUCGAACGGAAAGGCCCUGCUUUUGUGGGGUGCUCGAGUGGCGAACGGGUGAGUAACACGUGAGUAACCUGCCCUUGACUUUGGGAUAACUUCAGGAAACUGGGGCUAAUACCGGAUAGGAGCUCCUGCUGCAUGGUGGGGGUUGGAAAGUUUCGGCGGUUGGGGAUGGACUCGCGGCUUAUCAGCUUGUUGGUGGGGUAGUGGCUUACCAAGGCUUUGACGGGUAGCCGGCCUGAGAGGGUGACCGGCCACAUUGGGACUGAGAUACGGCCCAGACUCCUACGGGAGGCAGCAGUGGGGAAUAUUGCACAAUGGGCGGAAGCCUGAUGCAGCACCGCCGCGUGCGGGAUGACGGCCUUCGGUUUGUAAACCGCUUUCGCCUGUGACGAAGCGUGAGUGACGGUAAUGGGUAAAGAAGCACCGGCUAACUACGUG
rnacentral:rRNA from 1 species